ACAGAUGGUAGUGCUCCUAGAAAUAUUUCUUCUUCUAGCUUAUGUGCUUUGGAACUACACAUGUAUAACCAAUGACUGACUCUGAAAUAUCAAGCACUGUGGGGUGGCUGGAAGGUAAAGGUCUAAGCUUUGUGAAACACUAUACAUAUAUAAUCUAUAUUUACUUAUAUUGGCAAUUAAUAUAACAGUAAAAGUCACAAUACACCUAGAACAUACCAGAAAAGCAAGCUUUGUCAUUCCUGCUUUACCGGUAUGAUCUCGUCUAAACAAACAUUUCAUUUCAGAAAAUCUGCAUCAAUCUACACGGACCAUACACAGUGCACAAACUGAAAAGGGCUUUUUUUUUUUUUUUUCUAGCUCCACCAUCUCUGCAACUUGCCAAGAUGCGGCAAGACUAUCUGCAACAAAGUAAAAUAUACAGGUUUUUUAUUCCACCAGUGCCUCAGAUAGAUAGGAAAAAGAUAUGAUUACGGUUUAAAUCCAUACAUAGCAGCUUACAAUACUUAAGAUGAUGAACACAUGGCAGUCAAGACAGGUAAUUUUUCCUCACAACAGUGCAUGGCUAAAAAUAAAGAUCUAACAACGAUCUGUGAAACUGCACUGCAACGUCAAGGUUCGUUCUUCCCUGACCCUCCCCCG
rnacentral:lncRNA from 1 species